ACGGGUGAGUAACACGUGAGCAACCUACCCCUGACUCUGGGAUAAGCGCUGGAAACGGCGUCUAAUACUGGAUAUGUGGCGUGACCGCAUGGUCUGCGUCUGGAAAGAAUUUCGGUUGGGGAUGGGCUCGCGGCCUAUCAGCUUGUUGGUGAGGUAAUGGCUCACCAAGGCGUCGACGGGUAGCCGGCCUGAGAGGGUGACCGGCCACACUGGGACUGAGACACGGCCCAGACUCCUACGGGAGGCAGCAGUGGGGAAUAUUGCACAAUGGGCGCAAGCCUGAUGCAGCAACGCCGCGUGAGGGAUGACGGCCUUCGGGUUGUAAACCUCUUUUAGCAGGGAAGAAGCGAAAGUGACGGUACCUGCAGAAAAAGCGCCGGCUAACUACGUGCCAGCAGCCGCGGUAAUACGUAGGGCGCAAGCGUUAUCCGGAAUUAUUGGGCGUAAAGAGCUCGUAGGCGGUUUGUCGCGUCUGCUGUGAAAUCCGGAGGCUCAACCUCCGGCCUGCAGUGGGUACGGGCAGACUAGAGUGCGGUAGGGGAGAUUGGAAUUCCUGGUGUAGCGGUGGAAUGCGCAG
rnacentral:rRNA from 1 species